rfam:Salmo salar isolate Sally breed double haploid chromosome ssa13, whole genome shotgun sequence.
UAUGCACUCUACUGUAAGUCGCCUUGGAUAAGAGCGUCUGCUAAAUGACUAAAA